rnacentral:piRNA from 1 species
UAAUGACGGCUGAAGCACAUAGAA